rnacentral:rRNA from 1 species
UGGGGAAUAUUGGACAAUGGGCGAAAGCCUGAUCCAGCCAUGCCGCGUGUGUGAAGAAGGUCUUCGGAUUGUAAAGCACUUUAAGUUGGGAGGAAGGGCAGUAAGCGAAUACCUUGCUGUUUUGACGUUACCGACAGAAUAAGCACCGGCUAACUCUGUGCCAGCAGCCGCGGUAAUACAGAGGGUGCAAGCGUUAAUCGGAAUUACUGGGCGUAAAGCGCGCGUAGGUGGUUCGUUAAGUUGAAUGUGAAAGCCCCGGGCUCAACCUGGGAACUGCAUCCAAAACUGGCGGGCUAGAGUAGGGCAGAGGGUGGUGGAAUUUCCUGUGUAGCGGUGAAAUGAGUAGAUAUAGGAAGGAACACCAGUGGCGAAGGCGACCACCUGGGCUCAUACUGACACUGAGGUGCGAAAGCGUGGGGAGCAAACAGG